GCAUGGCUGAAUACUGUGUUCUUUUUGUCAGUAGCUUACACAGCCAGACACCAUGCAAAAGUAAUCUUCCCUUUAAAAUGGCUAUGAUGGUAUGCCAAGUUUUUCAUAGCAUAUCGUUACUAAAAGUGGAUACAAAU